GAUGAACGCUGGCGGCGUGCCUAAUACAUGCAAGUCGAGCGAACAGAUAAGGAGCUUGCUCCUUUGAAGUUAGCGGCGGACGGGUGAGUAACACGUGGGUAACCUACCUAUAAGACUGGGAUAACUUCGGGAAACCGGAGCUAAUACCGGAUAACAUUUAGAACCGCAUGGUUCUAAAGUGAAAGAUGGUUUUGCUAUCACUUAUAGAUGGACCCGCGCCGUAUUAGCUAGUUGGUAAGGUAACGGCUUACCAAGGCGACGAUACGUAGCCGACCUGAGAGGGUGAUCGGCCACACUGGAACUGAGACACGGUCCAGACUCCUACGGGAGGCAGCAGUAGGGAAUCUUCCGCAAUGGGCGAAAGCCUGACGGAGCAACGCCGCGUGAGUGAUGAAGGGUUUCGGCUCGUAAAACUCUGUUAUUAGGGAAGAACAAAUGUGUAAGUAACUGUGCACAUCUUGACGGUACCUAAUCAGAAAGCCACGGCUAACUACGUGCCAGCAGCCGCGGUAAUACGUAGGUGGCAAGCGUUAUCCGGAAUUAUUGGGCGUAAAGCGCGCGUAGGCGGUUUCUUAAGUCUGAUGUGAAAGCCCACGGCUCAACCGUGGAGGGUCAUUGGAAACUGGGAAACUUGAGUGCAGAAGAGGAAAGUGGAACUCCCUGUGUAGCGGUGAAAUGCGCAGAGAUAUGGAGGAACACCCGUGGCGAAGGCGAAAUUCUGGUCUGUUACUGACCCUGAUGUGCCAAAGCGUGGGGAUCAAACAGGAUUAGAUACCCUGGUAGUCCACGCCGUAAACGAUGAGUGCUAAGUGUUAGGGGGGUUUCCGCCCCUUAGUGCUGCAGCUAACGCAUUAAGCACUCCGCCUGGGGAGUACGACCGCAAGGUUGAAACUCAAAGGAAUUGACGGGGACCCGCACAAGCGGUGGAGCAUGUGGUUUAAUUCGAAGCAACGCGAAGAACCUUACCAAAUCUUGACAUCCUUUGAAAACUCUAGAGAUAGAGCCUUCCCCUUCGGGGGACAAAGUGACAGGUGGUGCAUGGUUGUCGUCAGCUCGUGUCGUGAGAUGUUGGGUUAAGUCCCGCAACGAGCGCAACCCUUAAGCUUAGUUGCCAUCAUUAAGUUGGGCACUCUAGGUUGACUGCCGGUGACAAACCGGAGGAAGGUGGGGAUGACGUCAAAUCAUCAUGCCCCUUAUGAUUUGGGCUACACACGUGCUACAAUGGACAAUACAAAGGGCAGCUAAACCGCGAGGUCAUGCAAAUCCCAUAAAGUUGUUCUCAGUUCGGAUUGUAGUCUGCAACUCGACUACAUGAAGCUGGAAUCGCUAGUAAUCGUAGAUCAGCAUGCUACGGUGAAUACGUUCCCGGGUCU
rnacentral:rRNA from 1 species